GUUCAGUAAUAUCAAUAGGAAUACCUUGUGAGCAUGUGACUAUGGCUGACAUGACAUAAAAGGGUAAGACAUUGAAGAAAAGCGUGAAACAUUGGGGAGGGGUAGGAGCAUUGAUGUCGUUCAUGUGCACUUCAGAACAGAGAAAGGGUCAAUUCAGAGAAUGCAUCAAUAGGGUUUAUUAAAGUAAGGAGAUCAUGGACUAAUUAGCCAAGAGUCUUGUUAGUCAAACUAAGCAAAAGAUCAAAGAAAGGACCUUUUUCUGCAUAGCUUCCAGAAUAGAAAUACAAAGGAGUGUUGCUUCCGAAUUCAAGUCGUGCCCAACGCAUACAAUUGGUGUGCCCGCGCUUACGAGGCAUUUUUCACAUGGUUGAUUGGCUGGUGAAGCAGCGUGGUUUUUGUGGUUAGCCAGCUGGCCUACCCAACUAAACAUUAUUGAAUUUUUAGAGUGAAAAUGGGUCAAACCUUGAGACCUCUUACAACUAUAAAUAAAGGUGUUUGGUCUUUGUAAAUUGGCAUUUUUGAGCUUAAUGAAUUGCUGCAGAUUUGACUUCUCUCA